rnacentral:rRNA from 2 species
ASCNUGAAGUCGUACGCACUGGCCCAACUGAUUGAUGGUGCUUGCACCUGAUUGACGAUGGAUCACCAGUGAGUGGCGGACGGGUGAGUAACACGUAGGUAACCUGCCCCGGAGCGGGGGAUAACAUUUGGAAACAGAUGCUAAUACCGCAUAACAACAAAAGCCACAUGGCUUUUGUUUGAAAGAUGGCUUUGGCUAUCACUCUGGGAUGGACCUGCGGUGCAUUAGCUAGUUGGUAAGGUAACGGCUUACCAAGGCGAUGAUGCAUAGCCGAGUUGAGAGACUGAUCGGCCACAAUGGAACUGAGACACGGUCCAUACUCCUACGGGAGGCAGCAGUAGGGAAUCUUCCACAAUGGGCGCAAGCCUGAUGGAGCAACACCGCGUGAGUGAAGAAGGGUUUCGGCUCGUAAAGCUCUGUUGUUGGAGAAGAACGUGCGUGAGAGUAACUGUUCACGCAGUGACGGUAUCCAACCAGAAAGUCACGGCUAACUACGUGCCAGCAGCCGCGGUAAUACGUAGGUGGCAAGCGUUAUCCGGAUUUAUUGGGCGUAAAGCGAGCGCAGGCGGUUGCUUAGGUCUGAUGUGAAAGCCUUCGGCUUAACCGAAGAAGUGCAUCGGAAACCGGGCGACUUGAGUGCAGAAGAGGACAGUGGAACUCCAUGUGUAGCGGUGGAAUGCGUAGAUAUAUGGAAGAACACCAGUGGCGAAGGCGGCUGUCUGGUCUGCAACUGACGCUGAGGCUCGAAAGCAUGGGUAGCGAACAGGAUUAGAUACCCUGGUAGUCCAUGCCGUAAACGAUGAGUGCUAGGUGUUGGAGGGUUUCCGCCCUUCAGUGCCGGAGCUAACGCAUUAAGCACUCCGCCUGGGGAGUACGACCGCAAGGUUGAAACUCAAAGGAAUUGACGGGGGCCCGCACAAGCGGUGGAGCAUGUGGUUUAAUUCGAAGCUACGCGAAGAACCUUACCAGGUCUUGACAUCUUGCGCUAACCUUAGAGAUAAGGCGUUCCCUUCGGGGACGCAAUGACAGGUGGUGCAUGGUCGUCGUCAGCUCGUGUCGUGAGAUGUUGGGUUAAGUCCCGCAACGAGCGCAACCCUUGUUACUAGUUGCCAGCAUUAAGUUGGGCACUCUAGUGAGACUGCCGGUGACAAACCGGAGGAAGGUGGGGACGACGUCAGAUCAUCAUGCCCCUUAUGACCUGGGCUACACACGUGCUACAAUGGACGGUACAACGAGUCGCAAACUCGCGAGAGUAAGCUAAUCUCUUAAAGCCGUUCUCAGUUCGGACUGUAGGCUGCAACUCGCCUACACGAAGUCGGAAUCGCUAGUAAUCGCGGAUCAGCAUGCCGCGGUGAAUACGUUCCCGGGCCUUGUACACACCGCCCGUCACACCAUGGGAGGUUGUAACGCCCAAAGUCGGUGGCCUAACCUUUAUGGAGGGAGCCGCCUAAG